rnacentral:rRNA from 1 species
GUCUUUUUNGAGUUAUUUUAAAAAUCUAACCUGCCCACUGAAUAAAUUUUUAAAUGGCCGCAGUAUUCUAACUGUGCAAAGGUAGCAUAAUCAUUAGUCUUUUAAUUGAAGGCUGGUAUGAACGGUUGGACGAAGUAUAAGCUGUUUCAUAUAAAAUUAUAUUAGAAUUUUAUUUUUUAGUAAAAAAGCUAAAAUUUUAUUAAAAGACGAGAAGACCCUAUAAAUCUUUUUAUUUGAUUUUAUAUAAAUUUUUUUGAUUUAUUUUGUUUUUAUAUAUUUAAAUAUUUUGUUGGGGUGAUGUUAAAAUUUAAAAAACUUUUAAUGAAUAAAAAUCAUUAAUUUAUGAAUUAUUGAUCCAUUAUUAAUGAUUAAAAAAUUAAGUUACUUUAGGGAUAACAGCGUAAUUUUUUUUGAGAGUUCAUAUCGAUAAAAAAGUUUGCGACCUCGAUGUUGGAUUAAGAUAAAUUUUUAGGUGUAGCCGUUUAAAUAUAAAGUCUGUUCGACUUUUAAAUUCUUACAU